rnacentral:ncRNA from 1 species
CAAAAGAUGAUGACAAGGAGUAGUAGUGACGACUUUCGGUAUUAGAGAGCUGGCGGAAGGUGCAAGCCAGUCCGAAAUCCCAUGAACUCGCCUUUGGAAUCGCAGGUGCGAACGCUGGAAGUCAGCAGGUAGUGCCUGCCGCCGAUCCGCGUUAAAGACAUAAAGCAGAGUGCCUAUUAAAAAAGGCACUAAUCUGGGUGGUACCGCGGGAACUAUACUCUCGUCCCAAUU